AUGCUGAUAGUACUGUACCGGAAAAAAUUUAUGCCGGUAAAGCACUUACUCCCACACGCAUGGCCAGAGUCCAAUUCUCACUUUCCCCUUCCCCUGGAUCAGAAAAGGAAAAAAAAACACUAAUCCCAUCAUUUUGAAGUCCCUCACCGUAAAAUCCCAUCAUUUUGAAAUCCCCUCACUUCAAAAUUCCAUCAUUUCAAAGUCCCUGAUCCAAACACAAACUUAA
rnacentral:lncRNA from 1 species